AAUAAACCCAUGUCAUCAAUACUGGAGUUCUUGUGGCCACCAGAAGACAACGGGAAUGUUCAGGGUUUGACGUGCUGUGGGGAAACAGUGUUCAUUCCUGUUACAUCGGCUUAGCAGAGGUCAUGGCCGGAGUUUUUUCCAGUUUCAGACAUGGCCUGAUACAGGCACCAAGAAUGCCCUUUUAGGGUAAGUAAAAAGAUUGGUAUGUGUGGUGUGCAAAUUUUUGCUAAUCAGAGUUGAACAGAACUGACUACUGGAAAUAGAGUUUGAAAAUGGGCCACAGCACUAUACAAUUCAAAACUUUAUGUUACAUCUAAAUAGCAUUAUCGUCAUAAGGCUAACUUUGUGUGUUUACACAUAGUUGUGUGUGCUUUCCAGUGUUUGACCAAAUGUAGACAGAAGUGGGGCAGCAGGUCUUCUGUUAGAAUGUGUAUUUAUUACUCCCUCAGAGCAAUUCAGCAGUGUUUUUUACUCCCGUUGCAUUCCAGUCUCUUAUUCACGUCAGCUGUGGGAGGUUGAUGUGAAUAUAUUGUAAGCCUUCUCCUUCUUCUUCUGUGCACCUAAAAGUGUGCCAAAAGAUGAUGAAUACUCGUCUGUAUAUUCUCACACGUGUUCCCGUCCAACUGUAUCCAGGCAACGGCUCAUAAUAUUGAUGAGCGUAUUUGAUCAGAGGCAUAUUGAUGGAUCUCAAGCCACAUACCAGAUGAUGUCGUUCACCUUUUUUUUUUUUUAACAUUUAUUUAUAGGUUGGUAUAUCGUAAAUUUGGUAGAAAUACAGUCCUUUCUGAAUGCACCUGCAUGCAUUCAGGUGUUAUUUUCUUUUACUUCCACUUCCUUGUCCUGUCCAUCUACUUCUUAUUGCUAUAAGAGUUGAGCUGUAACUGCAUGUCUGCAUGUAUAAUCCUUGUAUGUGUUUUUUCGUGAUGAGAAGAGUGUCUACCACACUGUUUCCUGUCAUAACUUCCCCCUGUAGUUUCCAUGUUUUGUACCAGACAGCAAGUCUUUUAAUAUGUCUUUGA
ensembl:lncRNA